GUACCUGGUACCCAGAACCUCUUUUGGUAUCACCUCCAUCGAAGUUCCAAGUGAGCUGAGACAAUACUAAAAAGAAUACCAGAUACCAGGUGCUAUCCACAACUUUUGCCACAUGGAAAACCAAAACAGAUGAAUGAUGUGAUCUGAUACACUCUUUACGCACAAGAAUGGGUUCACCCCCAGGCAAACCUUUGUGCUGUUUGUGGUCCCUGCCAGCAGUGAAGGAACAGUAGCUAACUGCAGCCUCUGCUACAAAUGGGGGAGGAGGAAGGUGGGGUGUCUCUGCUGUCCUCUGGCUGCCCCCCACCUUGACCACACUGG